CAUCGUUCGACCUCUUCUCAGCGGAAGCAUGCUGGCAAGCAUGGACCCAGCCUACAACUGUUGCAGAUUGCACGGUUUUGCGUUCAAUUUAACAGAUUUGGAGAAGGGGAGUUUCUGCUUUUCUACAUUUGAGAUGGCAGAUGCUGGCAGAAGAUGGCAUCGACCAGGAGCAGCAUUCUCUCUACCGGUGAUUGCAGACUGUGAACACAUGAGAAUCACUUACUUCUCAAAGCACUGAUGACCAAUGUUACCCUGAGCAGGAGCAAUAUUCUCUCUGCAUCUGUGACUGCAGAACAUGGAAGGUGACACAGUAAUGAUGGUAUCCUGAUCUUAAGGACUUCUCCGUCUGAGAGUGCAGAAGAUUUGGAGAAGGGGAGAUUCUGCUUCUCCACAUAUGAGAUUGCAGAUGGUUGCAGAAGAUGGCAUCGACCAGGAGCAACAUUCUCUCUCGGUGAUGGCAGACUGUGGCAGAAGAUUACCCUGACCAGGGGCAGUAUCUUCUCUCCACCUCUGAUUGCAGAGCACACAGAAGGUUACCUGGAGCAGGAGCAAUAUCUUUACAUCUGUGACUGCAGAACAUGGAAGGUGACCGAGUAAUGAUAGUAUUUGGAGAAGGAGAUUCUGCUUUUCUACAUCUAAGAUUGCAGAUGGUUGCAGAAGAUGGCAUCGACCAGGAGCAACGUUCUCUCUAUCUGUGACGGCAGACUGUGGCAGAAGAUCCUGAUCUUAAGGAAUUUCUUCUCCAUCUGAGAGUGCAGAAGGUAACUUUAAAAAUGGUUUUCUUGUCAAACUGAUGCUGUACACGCAUAAUAAAGUAUUUUACAUUUUGUUUGGCACAUCUGAUCAAAUACUGGUGUGUGGUGACACUAGGAUAAACUGAACUGACAUGUAUUUAUAGUAGCAGAUGACCUAAUUUGGAAGUAAUGUAUGCAUUCUAAUUUGGAAGUAAUGUAUGCAUUCCCUCCAAGACUGCAGGAUGGAAGAGUCUCCUGUUUGGUGAAGGUGUACAGAUGGUGGCAACAGUGUCAGUUUUAUGAUACGCAGAUGACUGUUUUACUAGAUCAGCGGCCUCAUCUGUCUGCAAAGAUCUGAUGGCACUUAGAUAAUUCGCAUGUAGUAGUAGUACCAUAUCAAAUUGGGGUGGUGAACCUAUUUAAUCACUAUUAAAUUGUGCAAGUAAUUUUUAAACUGGCUGAACUUACCCAUAUUUACUUUGUUUGUAGGCGAGUCAUAGGAUGAGGACUAGGCUGUUGCCAAGCUACUGGCUAAAGGUUGCUUUGAUUUUGGGGAUUUCUAUGUGGCCCCUUGAAGAUGAUCCAUUUGAGAAAUGAGACUUGCCAUGGUCACCAUUUUCAUCUUGUGAAAAACAGUGAAUUUUCUGUCAGAGGAAGAAAGUCAUUGCACACUAAUCAUUCCAAUGUUUUGGAUUAAAUGUUUUUAAUACACCUUACAAUUAUUACAAUUUCCAUGUUGUUAACCUGUAUUUGGUCAGAGAUGUGGGUAAAGAUUUUCAAUAAAGUCUAUUUUAACUGAA